rnacentral:rRNA from 1 species
GAUGAACGCUGGCGGCGUGCCUAAUACAUGCAAGUCGAGCGAACGGACGAGAAGCUUGCUUCUCUGAUGUUAGCGGCGGACGGGUGAGUAACACGUGGAUAACCUACCUAUAAGACUGGGAUAACUUCGGGAAACCGGAGCUAAUACCGGAUGAUAUUUUGAACCGCAUGGUUCAAAAGUGAAAGACGGUCUUGCUGUCACUUAUAGAUGGAUCCGCGCUGCAUUAGCUAGUUGGUAAGGUAACGGCUUACCAAGGCAACGAUGCAUAGCCGACCUGAGAGGGUGAUCGGCCACACUGGAGCUGAGACACGGUCCAGACUCCUACGGGAGGCAGCAGUAGGGAAUCUUCCGCAAAGGGCGAAAGCCUGACGGAGCAACGCCGCGUGAGUGAUGAAGGUCUUCGGAUCGUAAAACUCUGUUAUUAGGGAAGAACAUAUGUGUAAGUAACUGUGCACAUCUUGACGGUACCUAAUCAGAAAGCCACGGCUAACUACGUG